rnacentral:tRNA from 1 species
CAUUAAGAAGCUAUGCAACAGCACUAGCCUUUUAAGCUAGAGAUAGAGGUAUAAUUCCCCUCCUUAAUGG